CCUACGGGAGGCAGCAGUGAGGAAUAUUGGUCAAUGGACGCAAGUCUGAACCAGCCAUGCCGCGUGCAGGAAGACGGCUCUAUGAGUUGUAAACUGCUUUUGUACGAGGGUAAACGCAGAUACGCGUAUCUGUCUGAAAGUAUCGUACGAAUAAGGAUCGGCUAACUCCGUGCCAGCAGCCGCGGUAAUACGGAGGAUUCAAGCGUUAUCCGGAUUUAUUGGGUUUAAAGGGUGCGUAGGCGGUCGGAUAAGUUAGAGGUGAAAUCUCGAGGCUCAACUUCGGAAUUGCCUCUGAUACUGUUCGGCGAGAGAGUAGUUGCGGUAGGCGGAAUGUAUGGUGUAGCGGUGAAAUGCUUAGAGAUCAUACAGAACACCGAUUGCGAAGGCAGCUUACCAAGCUACUUCUGACGUUGAGGCACGAAAGCGUGGGGAGCAAACAGGAUUAGAUACCCGGGUAGUC
rnacentral:rRNA from 1 species